rnacentral:rRNA from 1 species
UACAGAGGGUGCGAGCGUUGUCCGGAAUCACUGGGCGUAAAGGGCGCGUAGGCGGCUCAGUAAGGUUGCGGUGAAAGCCCGGGGCUCAACCCCGGGUCGGCCGUGGCAACUGCUGGGCUGGAGCACUGUAGAGGCAGGUGGAAUUCCGGGUGUAGCGGUGAAAUGCGUAGAUAUCCGGAGGAACACCGGUGGCGAAGGCGGCUCCUGGACCGACACUGACGCUGAGGCGCGAAAGCUAGGGGAGCAAACGGG